AACGAACGCUGGCGGCAUGCCUAACACAUGCAAGUCGAACGAGACCUUCGGGUCUAGUGGCGCACGGGUGCGUAACGCGUGGGAAUCUGCCCUGGGGUGCGGAAUAACUCGGAGAAAUCCGUGCUAAUACCGCAUAAUGUCUUCGGACCAAAGAUUUAUCGCCCUGGGAUGAGCCCGCGUAGGAUUAGCUAGUUGGUGGGGUAAAGGCCUACCAAGGCGACGAUCCUUAGCUGGUCUGAGAGGAUGAUCAGCCACACUGGGACUGAGACACGGCCCAGACUCCUGCGGGAGGCAGCAGUGGGGAAUAUUGGACAAUGGGCGAAAGCCUGAUCCAGCAAUGCCGCGUGAGUGAUGAAGGCCCUAGGGUUGUAAAGCUCUUUUACCCGGGAUGAUAAUGACAGUACCGGGAGAAUAAGCUCCGGCUAACUCCGUGCCAGCAGCCGCCGUAACAC
rnacentral:rRNA from 1 species